rnacentral:rRNA from 1 species
CAUCACUACGCUAGAUGCAUAUCAAUAAGCGGAGGAAAAGAAACUAACAAGGAUUCCCUUAGUAACGGCGAGUGAAGCGGGAAGAGCUCAAAUUUGAAAUCUUCAAGGUUUACCUUGACGAAUUGUAGUUUAUAGAAGUGUUUUCUGUUAGUAGAGUGGCAAAAGUUCUUUGGAAUAGGACAUCAUAGAGGGUGAGAAUCCCGUAUUUGGUCAUUCCUCCUAGCUUUGUGAUACACUUUCAACAAGUCGGAUUGUUUGGGAAUGCAGUCCAAAAUGGGUGGUAAAUUUCAUCUAAAGCUAAAUAUUGGCGAGAGACCGAUAGCGAACAAGUACCGUGAGGGAAAGAUGAAAAGAACUUUGAAAAGAGAGUUAAACAGUACGUGAAAUUGUCAAAAGGGAAGCGUUUGACACCAGUGUUGUUUAGUUGAAAAUCAAUUCAAUAAUUUUUGAUUUUAAGUAGUAUUGACUUCAUCAGCUUGCUGCUUUCUUUUCGAAAAUUAUUGAAUGCACUUUUCAGUUAACAAGUCAACAUCAAUUUCUUUUGUUGUAAAAGGGUAAGAGGAAGGUGGCUUACGCUUCGGCGUAAGUGUUUAUAGCCUUUUAACUCUGCAAUCGGAGAGAUUGAGGUCUGCAGCGUAGAUCCUUCGGGGCUAGAUACGUUUGUGCUAAGUUAUAGCUUUUCAUAGACAACUUGUUGACUAUGUUUAGUCUUGUAGCUUACUCGCAUGCGCUAUUUUACCUACGCUUAGGAUGUUGACACACGCGCGUGCUCG